AACGCACAUUGCGCCCGCCAGUAUUCUGGCGGGCAUGCCUGUCCGAGCGUCAUUUCAACCCUCAGGCCCCAUCCCUCGCGGAGCGGGCCUGGCGUUGGGGAUCGGCCGUCCUCCCGGGCGGCCGGCCCCGAAAUACAGUGGCGGUCUCGCCGCAGCCUCCCCUGCGUAGUAGCACACCUCGCACCGGAGAGCGGCGCGGCCACGCCGUGAAACCCCCCACUAUACCAAGGUUGACCUCGGAUCAGGUAGGAAUACCCGCUGAACUUAA
rnacentral:misc_RNA from 1 species